CCCUUAGAUGUUCGGGGCCGCACGCGCGCUACACUGAAGGAAUCAGCACGUCUUUCUCCUUGUCCGAAAGGACUGGGUAACCCGCUGAACCUCCUUCGUGCUAGGGAUUGGGGCUUGUAAUUCUUCCCCAUGAACGAGGAAUUCCCAGUAAGCGCGAGUCAUAAGCUCGCGUUGAUUACGUCCCUGCCCUUUGUACACACCGCCCGUCGCUACUACCGAUUGGAUGGUUUAGUGAGAUCCUCGGAUUGGUCCCGGAGCGGCCUCUGGUCGUGCCGGAGUGCCGAAAAGAAUGUCGAACUUUAUCAUCUAGAGGAAGUAAAAGUCGUAACA
rnacentral:rRNA from 1 species